UGCAAAAUAGAGGAAGAUUAGCACAGAUGUUGGCUCAGGGCAAAUCUUCCUCAAGAAAAAGAGAAGACUGACAGCAGAGGUUAGCUCAGGGCCAGUCUUCCUCAGCAAAAA